rnacentral:rRNA from 1 species
GGUGUUUACUGUCGAACUGAACACUCUACCGUUUACUGUCUGGUGGUGCUCUUCACCGAGUGUCACCAGUGGUCGGUACGUUUACUUUGAAAAAAUUAGAGUGCUCAAAGCGGUUUUUACACGACCGAAUACUGUUGCAUGGAAUAAUGAAAUAGGACUUUGGUUCUAUUUUGUUGGUCUUCGGAACCAAGGUAAUGAUUAAGAGGGACAGACGGGGGCAUUAGUAUUGCGACGCUAGAGGUGAAAUUCUUGGACCGUCGCAAGACUAACUAAAGCGAAAGCAUUUGCCAAGAAUGUUUUCAUUAAUCAAGAACGAAAGUUAGAGGUUCGAAGGCGAUCAGAUACCGCCCUAGUUCUAACCAUAAACGAUGCCAACCAGCAAUCAGCCUGUGUUCUCUUGAUGACACGGCUGGCGGCUUCCGGGAAACCAAAGUCUUUCGGUUCCAGGGGAAGUAUGGUUGCAAAGCUGAAACUUAAAGGAAUUGACGGAAGGGCACCACCAGGAGUGGAGCCUGCGGCUUAAUUUGACUCAACACGGGGAAACUCACCCGGCCCGGACACUGUGAGGAUUGACAGGUUGAAGCCCUUUCUUGAUUCAGUGGGUGGUGGUGCAUGGCCGUUCUUAGUUGGUGGAGUGAUUUGUCUGGUUAAUUCCGAUAACGAACGAGACUCUAGCCUACUAAUUAGACCGUGGCGUCCUCGUGCCGCCACGGCGCUUCCUAGAGGGACAGACGG